CCUACGGGAGGCUGCAGUGAGGAAUAUUGGUCAAUGGGCGCGAGCCUGAACCAGCCAAGUAGCGUGAAGGAUGACUGCCCUACGGGUUGUAAACUUCUUUUAUAAAGGAAUAAAGUGAGGCACGUGUGCCUUUUUGUAAGUACUUUAUGAAUAAGGAUCGGCUAACUCCGUGCCAGCAGCCGCGGUAAUACGGAGGAUCCGAGCGUUAUCCGGAUUUAUUGGGUGUAAAGGGAGCGUAGAUGGAUUGUUAAGUCAGAUGUGAAAGGUUGCGGCUCAACCGUAGAACUGCAUUUGAUACUGGCAGCCUUGAGUGCAGUUGAGGUAGGCGGAAUUCGUGGUGUAGCGGUGAAAUGCUUAGAUAUCACGAAGAACUCCGAUUGCGAAGGCAGCUUACUAAACUGCCACUGACAUUGAUGCUCGAAAGUGUGGGGAGCAAACAGGAUUAGAUACCCCUGUAGUC
rnacentral:rRNA from 1 species